rnacentral:lncRNA from 1 species
GAGUUUAAGGUUUACGGUUUUGGUUUAGGGUAUAGGACUUGAGUUUAGGGUAUAGAGUUUAGGUUUAUAGUCUAGUUUUUGGGUUUAAGGUAUAUAAUUUGGGUUUAGGGUCUAGGAUUAGGGUUUAGGGUAUAGGGUUUGGAUUUAGGGGUUUGGAUAUGGGUUUAGAAUUUAGGGUGUAGAGUUUAGAAUUUAAGAUUUAGUGUUUAGGGUUUAACUGGAAGCGUUUGCGUUGUUAAAAUUAGCGUUUUUAUUUUUUGUAGCUAUUUUUAUUUAAUUUAAUAUUUUUAAU